CCUCCGUAGGAGCCGUAGCCGCUGUCCGCCUCGCUGUACACGCUCAUCUUGUCCAGGUCCAGGUAGUCGUAGUCGGAGAGCCCGGAGCCGGACGCGCGGCAGCUCUGAGGGGACUCCGAGUCGGGGGUUUGGACCAGAAUGUUCCGAGCGCAGGCCAAGCAGAUGUUGUGGGAGCAGGGCAGGAUGAUGGGCUCGCGGUAGAAGGAGCCGCACACGGGGCACUUGAGCUCGUCCUCCAUCUCGUCCAUGCUUCCGGUGCCGAGGAGCGUCGCGAGUUCGAGAUCCAGCCGCGUCCGAGUGAGAGCGCAGCCAGCGAGACCUUGGACCAGAGGAGACUGCGGAGGCGGGCCCCAGGCUCCCAGCAGCCAAUGAGGGAGCACCAUGAAGUCGCUGCUCGGCGUCUGAUUGGAGGCUCGGAAGGCUCCUCCCCUCCCAUUGGCCAACAGCGCUGGCCGCUCACGCUAAUGAGCUUAUGGCGGAGGAGACCAGCUAUUGUUUGUGAACUUAAGCGAGAGAUCCAGGCCGCGAGCCGCAGCGGAGGGGACUAGUUUGAUGUUGUGCAUCACGGUUGACUUUAAUUCUUGUGAGAAGCGAGUCAAAGGAGGUGGAACCGUGAGUAGUGCCGCCGAAAGGCCGUGCGUGGCCGACGCUCUUCCCUCACACGCCGGCCGGAGUCCGUACUGCACUGCAACAGUCGCAGACGGGAGCAGCCUCUCCGGGGAGGCCCGCGACUCGGGUGUGAGAAGAUGAAGCGGCAGAGGACGCUCCUCGUGGCUCCCUGAGGCCGCUGAGGGCUGGGACGCGUCCGUGGCAACAGGGCUGCCGCUCGCUGGAAUGAAACGGGACCAUCUCACUGAACGGGAUCGUCGGUCCUCAUGCUCACACGGGCGGCGCCAGGCCACUCUGCUGGGGCAAUGUUUCUCUGACAGGGAUCACGUGGGCAAAGAACUGAGGGGGUCGUGACCUCGGUAGUGAGGAGGCUCUCGUCUCUCGUGGAAGGCACUUUUGAAAAGUUCUCGGAAAAUAAACAGCAACUGCAGAGUUUAUCCGCACAAACACUGAGUGGAUCCCGAGCUAACGCGGCGCUGAGCCUCACCAACUGUGAGUGAGUCCACGGCAGCUAUUUUUGGACACAGGCUUGCUGGCGCGCCUCGUGAUGACUUUGUUCUGGGCCUAAGCUUCAGGUCUGGGCUGCCUCCAUGUGGAGGUGGACUUCCUGCUCUGAACUGAGGCCGCGUCGAAGCAAGAGCAGCAGGCCUCACACUGGAGCUGAAGGCUGAGCUCACGACUCGCCUCUACUCGGAGGCUCUCCCGGACCACGGAGCUCUCCACCUUUCCUCCAAGUGAGAAGCACCAAUCUGAGGAGGGACGUCUGCACACGCAGUGCUAGUGGAUCCAGGUGAGGGUCUCACACACCUGCAUGUUGGACAUGGUUCCGACACGGGAGCCGGCAGGAGGACGGCUUGGGUUCUGGAGUGGGAAGGAAUUUCGAGCUGGUGUUGGAUGUUUUGAAACACCUCUGCUGGAGUCUUCAACAAGGUAAACACAACUGCUGUGGUCUUGAGUUUGGCAGACCCUCAUGAAAGCGUGACGUGACCUCGCUGACCCCCCAGAGUUGGUCAGGGUCAUGGCCCACCCGAACCCUUCGGCACCUCCUGCUGCAGCGGGGAACUGUGUCACUGCAGCAGACUGUGAUCACUGCCGUCACCAGCUGCCGGAGAUCCGGUCCAGCUGAAGGGAACCCAGCGAGGAUGCUGCCAGCCUGUCACAGCAGACACACUCAAAGCCUGAAGGCAGGUGGGGGUUAGUGCAAAGACAGACAGAAGGCUGAAUACACUUACUCUGACCUGAGAGCUGAGCUGCAAAGUCAAGCUCUGCCGACUGUCUUCCACACACAGAACCAGCUGGUGACCUCACACACGCACAGCGUUGAGGUGAACUGGAGCUGUGAUGUGACCCUCUGGAUCCAGGUGAGUCACCUUGUCUCACCGCCCCUCUGCUCCUCACCAUCUGUGGCAUCCGGACCCUCACCACUGAUGCAGAGAUGAACUCUCUCGGCCACAAGCCGUGCCUCAGCUGACCUCUGACCUCUGGCGCUGCAGGUGUGAGAGAGGGUGUCAGAGCGCCAGAGAUGAAGAGAUGCAGCUGAAGAGACACGUGAGCAGAGAGGCGCGCACGUGCUGCCGCUCGCCCCGGCAAGACGUCCGACCUCUGGAGGGAAUCUGGGCCACAGUUAAUAGCAUCAUGGUUUUCUGGCUAAGGGAGAGCAGAGCGCUGAGUCAGCAGGAGCUGCCCGGGGUCCCGCAGGGCCCGACCUCACCAGUGAGAUGGGUCAAGCAGAACUUCAUCGAUUGCGCCUCGCUGUCUCUAUGGCAACCAGAAUCUGCCAGUCAACCCAGAAGUCUCCAGAAAAUGGAGAGUUGUGUGGUGUGUGAUGUGCAGCCAUUCUCUGUGUCAUGCCACUGCAACAACAGGGCGUCCAGGAGGGACCCGCCCACCGGGGUCCGGUUACCGCUGCCUUUGUCACCGGCCCGAGGAGCAACAGAACAGGUGCGAGAAGUGGAGCAGGGGGUGGGACGAUGUGACGGCGCCGGCGUUGAUUCUGGUGAGAAGAUUCCAGGCCUUUCCUCACAUCUGCAGAGAAACCUGCCUGAAGCUUUGACAAUCACUGGCGCCCCCUGGGGUGCAGUGACGGGCCACAAAGGACGUCAGUGGCGACUGCAGAGGUCUGUCUAUCCUCUCUGUCACACACUCACCGUCGCUGUUCAGCAAAAUAAAGGCUACAAUACUUGUGUUUUUAACUUGUAAGUUACAUUUACAAAAUGCUCGAGAUAGAAAGGACUACAAUAAUGGCCGCCAGCCCUGUACCCGAGAUCCUGGUCCGUGGUUUGUGACCGUCAUUCGGAGCAGCUGAAAGGAGCCAGUGGGAGUCAGACAACAUCACAGUUUGGAUCAUCCGCACCAAGCAGCCCAGCAGCCACACAACUGCAGGGCAACUGAAGACAAGAGGAGCCGAAAAUAGGAGGCGGAAUCAGGCCAGAUACACACCGACAGUGGGUCGGCUGUCACCUAAGAAUAGAUCCAUGGAUCAGCAGCAAAAGGACGUCAGGCUUCUCCUCUGAUCCUCAGCUCCAUGGAGCAACAGUACUGAAGGAUCCCCUGCAGGUUCCUGGUUGUGGGGAGGAACAACCGUCAGCAGGUUCCACCGCUCACGUCUGCUGCGGCCUGACCAGGUGGAGACCCUGCCUGACGCUCCUCUGCGGGCCGUUGGCGUAGGCCCGUCCCCGAGCGAGGCUCCUUCCUGAGCCGCUCGCACGUCCCGUCCGCCCACAGCUUCCGACAGGCCUCCCUCCUCUUCAGAGUCCACCAGAUCUGCCACUGACUCAUCCGUCUGAUGCUGAGACUGAACUUGGACUCUUGCUAUUUCUGUGGCGCUGAAGCCAGACGUCAUCGCUGUGU